CUCCCAUAACGAAGACACAAAAUACAUACUGUCGUUUGUUUAAAUUAUUAUUGAUAUCUAUCGUCUAUAAAUUGGAAGGAACAUAUCCUGCGUCUAAAAAAAGUUAGUUUCUGUCGCUCUUAACUGAUGCUUUGGCUGACGUUACGGUUUCAUGGAAGCUAACAUUCUGGGACACAGCCGGUGAAAUGCUGUGUGUUAGUCUACUGGGUAGCUCGAUGCGACUCAAACCGACGACGUGAGGAAACAAAAAAUGACAUCUCGAACGCCGUGGCUGCCGUAUCACCUCAAUGGAGUAUUUUGUUUGGGCUCACCGUUUAUUGUUUAUGCACGUUUUAAAAACGAUCCAUGAUAGGUGCCUGAAAUUCGCCGGCCUUCUAAAUCCUCAAGGAUAUAAGUGUUGGUCCCUAAGACGUCGCGAACCCGAACUUUAGUGAACUUUUGGCCGAACUUUCCCACAAAUUGUUUAUCUUUGUUAGACAAAUGGACAUUCUUCUUGUACACAACAUCAUUUUUCUUGAAUACAUGUUUUUGAUUGGCGCGCAGAUUAUACGGGGU